GGGCGAGUGGUGGAAUGGCAGACACGAGGGACUUAAAAUCCCUUGUCCAUUAAGGACGUGAGGGUUCGACUCCCUCCUCGCCCACCA
rnacentral:tRNA from 1 species